GAUGAACGCUGGCGGCGUGCCUAAUACAUGCAAGUCGAGCGAACAGACGAGGAGCUUGCUCCUCUGACGUUAGCGGCGGACGGGUGAGUAACACGUGGAUAACCUACCUAUAAGACUGGGAUAACUUCGGGAAACCGGAGCUAAUACCGGAUAAUAUAUUGAACCGCAUGGUUCAAUAGUGAAAGACGGUUUUGCUGUCACUUAUAGAUGGAUCCGCGCCGCAUUAGCUAGUUGGUGAGGUAACGGCUUACCAAGGCGACGAUGCGUAGCCGACCUGAGAGGGUGAACGGCCACACUGGAACUGAGACACGGUCCAGACUCCUACGGGAGGCAGCAGUAGGGAAUCUUCCGCAAUGGGCGAAAGCCUGACGGAGCAACGCCGCGUGAGUGAUGAAGGUCUUCGGAUCGUAAAACUCUGUUAUUAGGGAAGAACAAAUGUGUAAGUAACUAUGCACGUCUUGACGGUACCUAAUCAGAAAGCCACGGCUAACUACGUG
rnacentral:rRNA from 1 species